ensembl:lncRNA
UGUGGGGGGGGGAGGGAGGGUUGAGAAUUUAAGCGUUCGUUUUUAUAAAACCGGAAGUCGGAGACAAAGCCAAAAAUGAGCGGGACGAGAGACGAUAGAUAGCCACCGUGUUUAGGCACACCUACUGUACACUCCGUAGCCUUAAUACAGCUGUUAAAAAACAAACUGCAAUACCUCCUUAAACCGAAGCGAAACGCACGGCGGUCGAUGUGAAGAUCCGAAACAGCAUUUAUCUGUAGGAUCAAUAUGCAACGUGAUUAUUAAUUUUUAUUGUUGUUGCAUUUCUGAAUGUAAAAUCGAGACUGAAGGACGUCUUUAUGGGUUUUUUUGUAAUAUAGAACGUUAAUCAGAUCAGAUAGAGCGUUCCAGGGCCACACUUUCACUUGUUAGAGCUCUGUAUUACAAUACUGAUUACUACAAGGCUACUGGUGGUUAUUUUAUUAUUAUUAUUAUUAUAACUUUUUAUAAGAUGUGGCACACAUCUUAUAAAGGGUUGAGUGUUGGAAUUUUUGCAUUCUUUACUUUGAGGGUUUCCUCUGGGUAACCAUCUUUCAGCGGUUUCCUCCCCUAGUCCAAAGACAUGCGUUGUAGACUGAUUAGCGUUUCCAAAUUGUCCGUAGUGUGUGAAUGUGUGUGAGAUUGUGCACUGUGAUGCGUUGGUACCCUGGAUGUCCAGGAUGUCCCCGGCUUUGUGCCCCGGGUUCCCUGGGAUAGACUCCAGGCUCCUCCAUGACCCUUUGUAGGACAAGCAGUAUGGAAAAUGGAUGGAUGAAUGGAUGGAUAAGGUGUGGCCAUGAAGUAAGCUUCUUGAAAUCUAUUUUCUGGACACUUAACUCAUGGUAACUAUUGUAUUUAUUUAUUUAUUUAUUUUCUAAAUAAUUGGGACACCGGAAUUAGGCCAUUGGGCCGACAGGAACUUGAGCAUGGAGGUGACUGAUCAUAUUACAGUUUCCUUCACUCUUGCAACGACGCAGAAAGACACACUGGUGUCACUGGAGUUGUGACGUGUAUACACGUGUCACCUUAUGAGAUUUUUAACAGAUUCCAAACCCCCCACCCCCCACCCAUUCAUGCCGGAGGAAUAUUUAACACAGUAUUAAACACAUUAACUCUUAUACUUCACUUUUGGCUACAGAAUAUCAUCUCGUGGCUUCAUCUUAUAAAAUAAAUAAGUAAUAAUAAUAAUAAUAAUAAUAACCACCGUGUCACGUCAGAGGCUUUCCCCAUUUGAAUCCACGCCCAGUUGAAUUGAAUCAUUUGUAUUCUUUCUUUAUGUAUUCAAAUGAGCUUUCUUUCUAGUACAUUUUUUCUCUAUCUCUCUCGUAUCGUCCUAAAGAGAACAAACAUGUACAAGGGCUUUUCUUCUUAUUGUACGUAGUCCAUUUUGGUUUCAUCCGUAUUCUAGAAAAAUGUACUGUCAUACUGUUUCGUUCAAAAUCCUCGACGCUGGAAUGAAUGAAUGAACGAAUGAACGGGACUAAAUCGAUUCCUAUGCAUAUCACCACCGUGGCCUACAUAAAGAUCUGUCCGAAAAGCUCGAAUUCUGUCCGUCUGUUCUAAUAAGAACAUCAGGCUGAACGUGUAUAGUGCUUUUACACUCCAUGAUGAAGAACCCAUGAGAGACUCAAAAGGGAAUCAGUAUGAGCUUAAUGGGAGUUCUGGGACGAGGCAUAAGACAGUCUUGAUGCUUACAGCAGCAGUGUUUUAACAAGACUUUUAUAUUCAAGGUGUUCUUACAGUGUAGUUUUUUUUGGUGGUUUGCUUUCGGAGCGUCGUUCUCGAAUGCUUCUCAGAACACUAGCGUUUGGGAUACACGCCUAAGAUAACUUAAAAGCCUUUGUUUUUAUAUCAGGAAAUGAAGGUGCGAAUGUAUGUGUGGGGUUUUGCGGAAGACAUUUUAUCCCAACAGUGCCUGGACACAAAAAACAAACAAACAAACAAACAAAAAUCUGUUCUUGAUGCCUCUAUGGUGAGGUAUCGGUGCCUUGAUCUACUAGUAGAUCAUUCUUAAAUCCUAAAGUGUGCACGAACAUCGAGUGGCCACCUCAUCUAUUUAUACCAACCGCGUUAUAUCAUUAACACACGUAACGUCAUGUAGCCAACAGUGGUUUCAUAUCUCUCUCUCUCUCUCUCUCUCUCUCUCUCUCUCUCUCUCUCUCUCUCUCACUUUUCUAUACUACAGGUGAAGGAUUUCCAUGUUUCUGUUGUGUUUUUUGAUGUCAAGCUGUUUUUUUUUCCCUUUUAGCUCUAGCUUAUUAUUAUUAUUAUUAUUAUUAUUAUUAUUAUUAUUAUUAUUAUGACAGAUUGUGUUUUUAUUGAGUAUAACCUAUGUGUUAAGACUGAGUCACACUGGCGAUGCAAACAACUCAUAAAUCCUUGCACACACACACACAAACACACACACACACACACACACAUGCCCGCACACCCUAAACUCUGAACUUGAUGAAGUUGCCUGUAUAUGCGUGUGUGUGUGUGUGUGUGUGUGUGUGUGUGUGUGUGCGCAUGUGCUUACAGAUAUAAGAGCAUGAGUACACUUUUUUCUACGUUUGUGUGUUUGCCUUCAAGAAGACGUCCCCUUUCUACACUCUUCUUUCAUAGAAUCUUUUAUCAUGACCGAAACCAUCAGGAUAUAUUUAAUAUAUACAACGCAUUGUUUUUGUGUAUGAAGAACUUGUGUUUUUGUUGCUAAAAGAACAAGACAUCAAAGGUUGAAGAAGAGUCGUCUUCAGAGAUCCCUUUAUGGAGCUGUUUUCUAUCACGCUAUAUAUUUGUAAUAGGCUUGGCAUUAUUGUAGGCUAUUUAUAGUGGUGCAGUAGUUGAAUAAAGCAUUUUCAAAAACGAGAACCGAGUUCUGUAAUCUUAUUGCUUGUCCCGUGUAUCGUCUCUUGCUUUUCCUUUCGGCUGUGAUACAAUACAGCUGGUCUUCUGGGAUGUCUUUAUCAGCUUUACACAUC